GACGAACGCUGGCGGCGUGCUUAACACAUGCAAGUCGAACGGAAAGGCCCUGCUUUUGUGGGGUGCUCGAGUGGCGAACGGGUGAGUAACACGUGAGUAACCUGCCCUUGACUUUGGGAUAACUUCAGGAAACUGGGGCUAAUACCGGAUAGGAGCUCCUGCUGCAUGGUGGGGGUUGGAAAGUUUCGGCGGUUGGGGAUGGACUCGCGGCUUAUCAGCUUGUUGGUGGGGUAGUGGCUUACCAAGGCUUUGACGGGUAGCCGGCCUGAGAGGGUGACCGGCAACCUGGGGCCUACGAGAGCCACCAGUGCCGAACGGGGGCCAAGGGGGGGAAAUUUGACCCAGGGGGCGCAGGCGGGUGACGACAGCCCCCGGGUCGGAAAGCCGGCUUGCGGGUAAAAAACCGCUUUCGCUUGUUACGAAGCUGUAGUGACGGUAAGGAAAAAAGAAGCACCGGCUAACUUCGUG
rnacentral:rRNA from 1 species